AUUGAACGCUGGCGGCAGGCCUAACACAUGCCAGUCGCACGAGUGCCGGACGGGUGCGUAACGUCUGGGAAACUGCCUGAUGGAGGGGGAUAUCCACUGGAAACGGUAGCUAAUACCGCAUACCAUUGGAUGUGCCCAGAUGGGAUUAGCUUGUAGGUGGGGUAAAGGCUCACUUAGGCGACGAUCACUAGCUGGUCUGAGAGGGUGACCACAUACACUGGAGCUGAGACACGGUCCAGACGCGUACGGUGGGCAGCAGUGGGGAAUAUUGCACAAUGGGGGCAAGCCCGACGACGCCCUGCCGCGUGUAUGAAGAAGGCCUUCGGGUUGUAAAGUCCUUUCAGCGGAGAGUCGUUACCGGCAGAAGAAGCACCGGGUAACCCCGUGCCAGCAGCCGCGGUAAUUC
rnacentral:rRNA from 1 species